rnacentral:rRNA from 1 species
AUCCACGGAAGUUUUCAGAGAUGAGAAUGUGCCUUCGGGAACCGUGAGACAGGUGCUGCAUGGCUGUCGUCAGCUCGUGUUGUGAAAUGUUGGGUUAAGUCCCGCAACGAGCGCAACCCUUAUCCUUUGUUGCCAGCGGUCCGGCCGGGAACUCAAAGGAGACUGCCAGUGAUAAACUGGAGGAAGGUGGGGAUGACGUCAAGUCAUCAUGGCCCUUACGACCAGGGCUACACACGUGCUACAAUGGCGCAUACAAAGAGAAGCGACCUCGCGAGAGCAAGCGGACCUCAUAAAGUGCGUCGUAGUCCGGAUUGGAGUCUGCAACUCGACUCCAUGAAGUCGGAAUCGCUAGUAAUCGUGGAUCAGAAUGCCACGGUGAAUACGUUCCCGGGCCUUGUACACACCGCCCGUCACACCAUGGGAGUGGGUUGCAAAAGAAGUAGGUAGCUUAACCUUCGGGAGGGCGCUUACCACUUUGUGAUUCAUGACUGGGGUGAAGUCGUAACAAGGUAACCGUAGGGGAACCUGCGGUUGGAUCACCUCCUUACCUUAAAGAAGC